rnacentral:rRNA from 1 species
UACGUAGGUGGCGAGCGUUGUCCGGAUUUACUGGGCGUAAAGGGAGCGUAGGCGGACUUUUAAGUGAGAUGUGAAAUACCCGGGCUUAACUUGGGUGCUGCAUUUCAAACUGGAAGUCUAGAGUGCAGGAGAGGAGAAUGGAAUUCCUAGUGUAGCGGUGAAAUGCGUAGAGAUUAGGAAGAACACCAGUGGCGAAGGCGAUUCUCUGGACUGUAACUGACGCUGAGGCUCGAAAGCGUGGGGAGAAAACAGGAUUAGAUACCCCUGUAGU